rnacentral:rRNA from 1 species
AUUGAACGCUGGCGGAAUGCUUUACACAUGCAAGUCGAACGGCAGCACGGGGCAACCUGGUGGCGAGUGGCGAACGGGUGAGUAAUAUAUCGGAACGUGCCCAAUCGUGGGGGAUAACGUAGCGAAAGUUACGCUAAUACCGCAUACGAUCUACGGAUGAAAGCGGGGGAUCGCAAGACCUCGCGCGAAUGGAGCGGCCGAUAUCAGAUUAGGUAGUUGGUGGGGUAAAGGCUCACCAAGCCAACGAUCUGUAGCUGGUCUGAGAGGAUGAUCAGCCACACUGGGACUGAGACACGGCCCAGACUCCUACGGGAGGCAGCAGUGGGGAAUUUUGGACAAUGGGGGCAACCCUGAUCCAGCCAUUCCGCGUGAGUGAAGAAGGCCUCGGUUGUAAGCGUCUUCUAGCAGGAACG